UACGGGGGGGGUAAGCGUUGUUCGGAAUUACUGGGCGUAAAGGGCUCGUAGGCGGCCAACUAAGUCAGACGUGAAAUCCCUCAGCUUAACUGGGGACUGCGUCUGAUACUGGAUGGCUUGGAUUUGGGAGAGGGAUGCGGAAUUCCAGGUGUAGCGGUGAAAUGCGUAGAUAUCUGGAGGAACACCGGUGGCGAAGGCGGCAUCCUGGACCAAUAUUGACGCGUGAGGAGCGAAAAGCCAGGGGGAGCAAACGGGG
rnacentral:rRNA from 1 species